GGACAAGUCGACGAGGGUCGUGUCAGCGGACUCAUGAUCUGCUGUCAAAUUGGAGACGGGGCCGGUCGCCGGUUCGAACGGGUCCGGUUCAC
rnacentral:tRNA from 1 species